rnacentral:rRNA from 1 species
CAUGCGAGUCAUUGUAGCAAUACAAGGCAGACGGCUCAGUAACGCGUAGUCAACCUAACCUAUGGAUGGGAAUAACCUCGGGAAACUGAGAAUAAUGCCCAAUAGAACACUAUACCUGGAAUGGUUUGUGUUCCAAAUGAUUUAUCGCCGUAGGAUGGGACUGCGGCCUAUCAGUUUGUUGGUGAGGUAAUGGCCCACCAAGACUAUUACAGGUACGGGCUCUGAGAGGAGUAGCCCGGAGAUGGGUACUGAGACACGGACCCAGGCCCUAUGGGGCGCAGCAGGCGAGAAAACUUUGCAAUGUGCGAAAGCACGACAAGGUUAAUCCGAGUGAUUUGUGCUAAACGAAUCUUUUGUUAGUCCUAGAAACACUAAUGAAUAAGGGGUGGGCAAGUUCUGGUGUCAGCCGCCGCGGUAAAACCAGCACCUCAAGUGGUCAGGAUGAUUAUUGGGCCUAAAGCAUCCGUAGCCGGCUCUGUAAGUUUUCGGUUAAAUCUGUAUGCUCAACAUACAGGCUGCCGGGAAUACUGCAGAGCUAGGGAGUGGGAGAGGUAGACGGUACUCGGUAGGAAGGGGUAAAAUCCUUUGAUCUAUUGAUGACCACCUGUGGCGAAGGCGGUCUACCAGAACACGUCCGACGGUGAGGGAUGAAAGCUGGGGGAGCAAACCGGAUUAGAUACCCGGGUAGUCCCAGCUGUAAACUAUGCAAACUCAGUGAUGCAUUGGCUUGUGGCCAAUGCAGUGCUGCAGGGAAGCCGUUAAGUUUGCCGCCUGGGAAGUACGUACGCAGGUAUGAAACUUAAAGGAAUUGGCGGGGGAGCACCACAAGGGGUGAAGCCUGCGGUUCAAUUGGAUUCAACGCCG